rnacentral:rRNA from 1 species
UGGGUAACCUGCCUUAUAGUGGGGGGAGUAGCCUUUCGAAAGGAAGAUUAAUACCGCAUAAGAUUGUAGUAUCGCAUGAUAUAGCAAUUAAAGGAGCAAUUCGCUAUAAGAUGGACCCGCGUCGCAUUAGCUAGUUGGUGAGGUAAUGGCUCACCAAGGCGACGAUGCGUAGCCGACCUGAGAGGGUGAUCGGCCACAUUGGGACUGAGACACGGCCCAGACUCCUACGGGAGGCAGCAUG